UCAUAUAAAUAUGGUGCCUCAAACUGUUC
rnacentral:piRNA from 1 species